GGACUACACGGGUUUCUAAUCCUGUUUGCUCCCCUAGCUUUCGUGCCUCAGUGUCAGGAGUUGUCCAGGGACUCGCCUUCGCCACUGGUGUUCCUCUCGAUAUCUACGCAUUUCACUGCUACACCGAGAAUUCCAGUCCCCCCUCCAACCCUCCAGCAGAAUAGUAUUCAAUGCAGUUUCCGAGUUAAGCUCGGAGAUUUCACAUCAAACUUACCCCGCCACCUACGCACCCUUUACGCCCAGUGAAUCCGAACAACGCUUGGGACCUCUGUAUUACCGCGGCGGCUGGCAC
rnacentral:rRNA from 1 species